GCCCCGGUGGCUCAAUGGAUAAAGCAAAGCACUCCUAACGCUUAGAUUGAGAGUUCGAAUCUCUCCCGGGGCA
rnacentral:tRNA from 1 species